ACGUACACUCCUGCGGGAGGCAGCAGUGGGGAAUAUUGCACAAUGGGCGCAAGCCUGAUGCAGCCAUGCCGCGUGUAUGAAGAAGGCCUUCGGGUUGUAAAGUACUUUCAGCGGGGAGGAAGGCGAUAAGGUUAAUAACCUUGUCGAUUGACGUUACCCGCAGAAGAAGCACCGGCUAACUCCGUGCCAGCAGCCGCGGUAAUACGGAGGGUGCAAGCGUUAAUCGGAAUUACUGGGCGUAAAGCGCACGCAGGCGGUCUGUCAAGUCGGAUGUGAAAUCCCCAGGCUCAACCUGGGAACUGCAUUCGAAACUGGCAGGCUAGAGUCUUGUAGAGGGGGGUAGAAUUCCAGGUGUAGCGGUGAAAUGCGUAGAGAUCUGGAGGAAUACCGGUGGCGAAGGCGGCCCCCUGGACAAAGACUGACGCUCAGGUGCAAAAGCGUGGGGAGCAAACAGGAUUAGAUACCCGAGUAGUCCCAUGAU
rnacentral:rRNA from 1 species